rnacentral:rRNA from 1 species
CUAAGUUUAAGCAACUAUACGGUGAAACUGCGAAUGGCUCAUUAAAUCAGUUAUCGUUUAUUUGAUAGUACCUUACUACWUGGAUACCYGUGGUAAUUCUAGAGCUAAUACAUGCUAAAWAYCCCGACUUCGGAAGGGAUGUAUUUAUUAGAUUAAAAACCAAUGCCCUUCGGGGCUCCUUGGUGAUUCAUGAUAACUCMWCGAAUCGCAUGGCCUUGUGCCGGCGAUGGUUCAUUCAAAUUUCUUCCCUAUCAACUUUCGAUGKUWGGGUAKUGGCCWAMCAUGGUUGCAACGGGUAACGGAGGGUUAGGGCUCGACCCCGGAGAAGGAGCCUGAGAAACGGCUACUACAUCCAAGGAAGGCAGCAGGCGCGCAAAUUACCCAAUCCCGACUCGGGGAGGUAGUGACAAUAAAUACUGAUACAGGGCUCUUUUGGGUCUUGUAAUUGGAAUGAGUACAAUUUAAAUCCCUUAACGAGGAACAAUUGGAGGGCAAGUCUGGUGCCAGCAGCCGCGGUAAUUCCAGCUCCAAUAGCGUAUAUUAAAGUUGUUGUGGUUAAAAAGCUCGUAWUUGAACCUUGGGCCUGGCUGGCCGGUCCGCCUCACCGCGUGUACUGGUCCGGCCGGGCCUUUCCCUCUGUGGAACCCCAUGCCCUUCACUGGGUGUGGCGGGGAAACAGGACUUUUACUUUGAAAAAAUUAGAGUGCUCCAGGCAGGCCUAUGCUCGAAUACAUUAGCAUGGAAUAAUAGAAUAGGACGUGUGGUUCUAUUUUGUUGGUUUCUAGGACCGCCGUAAUGAUUAA